rnacentral:rRNA from 1 species
UACGUAGGGUGCAAGCGUUAAUCGGAAUUACUGGGCGUAAAGCGUGCGCAGGCGGUGAUGUAAGACAGAUGUGAAAUCCCCGGGCUCAACCUGGGAACUGCAUUUGUGACUGCAUCGCUGGAGUACGGCAGAGGGGGAUGGAAUUCCGCGUGUAGCAGUGAAAUGCGUAGAUAUGCGGAGGAACACCGAUGGCGAAGGCAAUCCCUGGGCCUGUACUGACGCUCAUGCACGAAGCGUGGGGAGCAAACAGG